rnacentral:rRNA from 1 species
GUGAGGAAUUUUCCGCAAUGGGCGAAAGCCUGACGGAGCAAUGCCGCGUGAAGGAUGAAGGCCUAUGGGUUGUAAACUUCUUUUCUCAGAAAAGAAUUAUGACGGUAUCUGAGGAAUAAGCAUCGGCUAACUCUGUGCCAGCAGCCGCGGUAAGACAGAGGAUGCAAGCGUUAUCCGGAAUGAUUGGGCGUAAAGCGUCUGUAGGUUGUUAAAAAAGUAUUCUGUCAAAGAUUAGGGCUUAACCCUAGAUAGGCAGAAUAAACUUUUAAGCUAGAGUUUGGUAGAGGCAGAGGGAAUUCCCGGUGGAGCGGUGAAAUGCGUAGAUAUCGGGAGGAACACCAAAGGCGAAGGCACUCUGCUGGGCCAAUACUAACACUGAGAGACGAAAGCGAGGGGAGCAAAUGGGAUUAGAACCCGUGUAGUCC